rnacentral:rRNA from 1 species
AGGACGAACGCUGGCGGCGUGCCUAACACAUGCAAGUCGAGCGAGAUCCAUCCAGUGGCAACACUGGUGAAGAUCUAGCGGCGAACGGGUGAGUAACACGUGAGAAACCUGCCCCGGAGACCGGGAUAACUCGAGGAAACUCGAGCUAAUACCGGAUACCCCCACGAACCGCAUGAUUUGGUGAGGAAAUGCUCCGACGCUCCGGGAGGGUCUCGCGGCCUAUCAGCUAGUUGGUGAGGUAAUGGCUCACCAAGGCUAAGACGGGUAGCUGGUCUGAGAGGACGAUCAGCCACACUGGGACUGAGACACGGCCCAGACUCCUACGGGAGCAGCAGUGGGGAAUCUUGCGCAAUGGGCGAAAGCCUGACGCAGCAACGCCGACGUGGGGGAUGGAAGGCUCUCGGGUUGUAAAACCCCCUUUGAGGAGGACGAAAAUGACGGUACCUCCAGAAGAAGCCCGACAACUACGUGCCAGCAGCCGC